rnacentral:rRNA from 1 species
UACGGAGGGUGCAAGCGUUAUCCGGAUUCACUGGGUUUAAAGGGUGCGUAGGCGGACUGUUAAGUCAGUGGUGAAAUCUCAGAGCUUAACUCUGAAACUGCCAUUGAUACUAUCAGUCUUGAAUGUUCUGGAGGUGAGCGGAAUAUGUCAUGUAGCGGUGAAAUGCUUAGAUAUGACAUAGAACACCCAUUGCGAAGGCAGCUCACUACGGAAAUAUUGACGCUGAGGCACGAAAGCGUGAGGAUCAAACAGGAUUAGAUCCCUGGUAGUCC